AGUUCCCUUAUUAUAAAAACUUGCUACAUUCCCUAGAUAACAAUAUGUAAAUUAAAAUAAUAUUAUUUACUUCUUCAAUGCCAUUAAAAGUAAAUAAACAAGUAAUCUGACAAAAACCAUGUUCUCUCUCAUCUCUUUCUCUCUGAUCUUUCUUCGACAUCCUCGAUUUAUUGUCGAUGCUCGCCGGACACGUAUUCUUGCUCCUCAUCUCGAGCUUGUUAAUAAAAGUUCUAGUUUGGUAGAAGUGGAUCUGAUUUUAGUAACACACAGUAUGUGUAGGAGGUCGGAUCAGGUGUCGGGGUAGAUGAUAAGGCUGGAAAGGUCUUUGAGACUGUUGACGACCCUCUGAGUACCAGUUGUCGGGAUAGAUGAUGUUGUCGGAGAGCUUCUUUCUCUCAGAUCGUCCACCUCGUAUUCCUCCUCCGAUGAGGAAGGUGUUGAUUCCAAUUUAUACAGCUUGUGAUGAUGACCGGAAGAGAAAAGCGAGAGACACAAGAAAUAGAAGUUGAAAGGAAACAAAUCUGAUUUUUUUUAAUUAUUUUAGGUUUUCUAAUAAAAUUAAUU